rnacentral:tRNA from 1 species
GCGGGUAUGGCGGAAUUGGUAGACGCGCUGGUCUUAGGAGCCAGUGAAAUUCUCGUGUGGGUUCGAGUCCCACUACCCGCA